CCUUGGAAGAUCCUCACUCCGCCGUCUAACCUACGGCUCGGGCACGGUGGAAGGUGGCGAGCCCCGCGAGCUGUGCACCGUUAGCGCUUCCGAUGUGGCGAGAUUGGACCGCCGCACUGCCGCUGUGCCGAGCAUGGACCCGUGACAAGUUGGACUGUAUUGCCAUUUUUCCCAUCUACUUGUACCGCUUUUGACCGGCGCAUCAGUAAAUGUUCUGAGACACCAUGAUCCAGCCAGAGGAGGAUAAUCACGCACCCUCAGUAGACAGCAUGGACACCAAAAGGCACUCUGCUGAAAGGUGACCUCCUGACACUUCACCUCCCCAAAACAUUUGGUGGAUCAUUGGUGUGAAAAAGUACGGACAACACUGGUUCCAGUAGCCUCUG